GCCUUCAUCCAGCAGAGCCAGGCCCUCCAGGCGCCCGCUGUGGUGCUGACCAGCUCUAACACGGCUGGUGCCACCGCCACAGCUCCCCGCACGCUCAUCCAGCCUGCCCUCAGCAACUCCAGCCAGACUGCCUCUCUGGUAUUGCAGCCUCCACAGCAGGGGGCAAUAGUGAAGCCCCCUCAGGUAACCCUGACAACCACUCCCAUGGUGACGCUCAGGGGUCAACCCCACAGCCACAUAGUGGUGGGUCAGCCUCAGGUGCAGCUGAAACAUAUCCAGACAGUCGCUGUGAAGCAUGGUGUUGUGAGUAGCACCAAACUGGCUCCGGGCUCUGUGUCUGUAGCGUUAGCUCAGAAGAAUAAAACAAAGGAUGGUGCUGGAGGAACUUUCAGGUUUGUGUUGUGUUCAUUUCACUUUAACGUUUACCCAGGAGACAUUGUGCACAACAUACAUGA
rnacentral:lncRNA from 1 species